UGCGGUUCUCAGGUGAGGGACCCCAGAAUCGGGCUCCCUCCUCUCUAGUUCCAGGUGCAUCACCCAAGAACCACA
rfam:Myotis davidii contig216471, whole genome shotgun sequence.